UGCAGUCGAACGGAGUUAUUUUGGCAGAAGCCUUCGGGUGGACGCUGAUAUAACUUAGUGGCGAACGGGUGAGUAACACGUGAGCAACCUGCCCUUCAGAGGGGGACAACAGUUGGAAACGACUGCUAAUACCGCAUAAGACCACGGUGUGGCAUCACACAGAGGUCAAAGGAGAAAUCCGCUGAAGGAUGGGCUCGCGUCCAAUUAGCUAGAUGGUGAGGUAACGGCCCACCAUGGCGACGAUUGGUAGCCGGACUGAGAGGUUGAUCGGCCACAUUGGGACUGAGACACGGCCCAGACUCCUACGGGAGGCAGCAGUGGGGAAUAUUGCACAAUGGAGGAAACUCUGAUGCAGCGACGCCGCGUGAGGGAAGAAGGUCUUCGGAUUGUAAACCUCUGUUGUCAGGGACGAUAAUGACGGUACCUGACGAGGAAGCCACGGCUAACUACGUGCCAGCAGCCGCGGUAAAACGUAGGUGGCAAGCGUUGUCCGGAAUUACUGGGUGUAAAGGGAGCGCAGGCGGGAGAGCAAGUUGGAAGUGAAAUCUGUGGGCUCAACUCACAAAUUGCUUUCAAAACUGUUUUUCUUGAGUGGUGUAGAGGUAGGCGGAAUUCCCGGUGUAGCGGUGGAAUGCGUAGAUAUCGG
rnacentral:rRNA from 1 species